CCUCCUUUCUUUACCUUGAAGAGGACUCGGACGGGAGAUCCGGAUCCUCGGGGUUGUACUGUUGUGGGGAAGAACAGCUGGCUCUCCAGGUCCAGACCCGGAUCGCCAGCGCGGAAUGCGCUCAAGGGUGGUAGAGGGAGCUCCAGGGCGGGGCGCUGAGCUCUGUUACCUUUGCUGCAUUGUGUGCGCCAUGUUGUUUCUGCUCUGCCAUGCCUGUUAUCCCUGCCUUCGAGUCGACUGAUUAUGGACUGAAAUCUCUACAAACUGUAAGCCAAAUAAACCCCUUCCUCUCUAAAAAAGCAAAACAACAAAAAAACCCCAAAAAACUGACUUUUCUUUUCCGGGGAUUGAACUCGGGACCUUCCACUUGCGAGGAAAGCGGCAGAAACACUGAGCUAAAUCCCUGGCCCCAAAAAACUGACUCUUGAAAACAUGUAGCUUAGCUCAGCUAGCUUGGAGAGGAAGUGCAUUUAGUUCAUAUACCACAGGCCUCUUGUGCUCAGAGGGCCUUGGUAUUAUGUAAAUACAGUGUUAAUUUUAGUUUUGAUUUUGAAACAAUGUCAACCUUCCAAAGAAAAACAAAGAACUGUCGUAAAACUUUUAUCCUGAUUCACUUGUUAUCAUCAUUUUUUUCCUAAGCCUCAACUCAUAAAUGGAUUUCAUGACUCACCAUGUUAGUAAAACAGCAUUCCUUUUUCUCCAAACAGAUGAAGAAAUGAGGUCAGAGAGCUUUUGUGACUUGGUAACAUUUCACUUUAUUCUUUGUUCUUCCUCUAUAAUAUGUACCUCUACCCCAAUUAUUUGAGAGCUAGUUAUAGCUAUCAUGCCUCUUUAUCCCUAAAUACUUCAGUAGGUGUUUCAUAAGAACAAGGUCAUUAUCUACAAUUCAGUUGUCAAAUUCAGAAAAUUUAACAUUGAUAUAAUAAUGUUUUCUAAUAAAGCAUUCAUAUUCAAAAUUUCCCAGUGAUCUCCGUUAUACCCUCUGUGGUAUCACUGAGAGAGUUUACAGAGACUAGAGAAUAAUGAGUAACAGGGCAAGUGGGUUAAGUGGAAUCUUUUUUUUUUUUUUUUUUUUGGUACCGGGGAUGAAAUGGAAUCUUAUUUUUAAGGACAGG
ensembl:lncRNA